UACGUAGGUGGCAAGCGUUAUCCGGAAUGAUUGGGCGUAAAGGGAGCGCAGGCGGAACCAUAAGUCUGAAGUAAAAGCCAUCGGCUCAACCGAUGUAAGCUUUGGAAACUGUGGAUCUAGAGUGCAGGAGAGGACAGUGGAAUUCCAUGUGUAGCGGUAAAAUGCGUAGAUAUCACACAGAACACCGAUUGCGAAGGCAUCUCACGAAUCCGCUAUUGACGCUGAUGCACGAAAGCGUGGGUAUCAAACAGG
rnacentral:rRNA from 1 species